AACGAACGCUGGCGGCAUGCCUAACACAUGCAAGUCGAACGAUCCCUUCGGGGAUAGUGGCGCACGGGUGCGUAACGCGUGGGGACCUGCCCUUAGGUUCGGAAUAACUCAGAGAAAUUUGAGCUAAUACCGGAUAAUGUCUUCGGACCAAAGAUUUAUCGCCUUUGGAUGGGCCCGCGUUGGAUUAGCUAGUUGGUGGGGUAAAGGCCUACCAAGGCGACGAUCCAUAGCUGGUCUGAGAGGAUGAUCAGCCACACUGGGACUGAGACACGGCCCAGACUCCUACGGGAGGCAGCAGUGGGGAAUAUUGGACAAUGGGCGAAAGCCUGAUCCAGCAAUGCCGCGUGAGUGAUGAAGGCCUUAGGGUUGUAAAGCUCUUUUACCCGGGAUGAUAAUGACAGUACCGGGAGAAUAAGCCCCGGCUAACUCCGUG
rnacentral:rRNA from 1 species